GGAGGGCUGUGGCUCAGUGGCAGAGCUUCUGCCUUGGAGGCAGAAGGUCCCAGGUUCAAUCCCUGCAUCUCCA